UCUGCAUUCGCCACCAAGAUGGCAACGUCCAUAGCGCUCAGCUUGGAUAACUUACCGUCUGAUCCCUUACUUCUGGUGCUGUCAUUCCUGGACUUCCGAGAUCUUAUCAGCUGCAGUUUUGUAAGUCGUCGUCUCAAUGAGCUGACAGGUCAUAACCCUCUAUGGAAGAGACUUUGUCAGAAACACUGGCUUCUUUCAGAGGCAGACAAAACCCAACGAGGCCUUUCCUGGAAAGAUCUUUUCCGGGAGUAUUAUGCUGAUCUGGGUCGUUAUUUUGACUACUACAGCACUCUCAAGAAAGCCUGGGAUGAUCUAAAGAACUUCCUAAACCAGAAAUGUCCUCGAAUGAUAGCGUCACUUAAAGAAGGAGUAAGGGAGGAUGAGCUGGACACCAUUGAGGCCCAGAUUGGCUGCAAACUGCCUAAUGACUACCGUUGCUCUUAUAGGAUACACAAUGGACAGAAGCUAGUGGUCCCUGGGCUGAUGGGCAGCAUGGCUUUGUCCAAUCACUAUCGCUCAGAGGACCUGCUGGAUAUUGAGACGGCAGCGGGAGGGUUUCAGCAGAGGAAGGGUAUGCGGCAGUGUCUUCCACUCACAUUUUGCUUCCAUACCGGCCUUAGCCAGUACAUGGCCCUGGAGACCACAGAGGGACGAACACGCAGUGAGAUCUUCUAUCAGUGCCCGGAUCAACUGGCACAAGAUCCCUCUGCGAUUGACAUGUUCAUUACUGGUUCUAAUUUUACUGAGUGGUUUACUUCAUAUGUUGACAACGUUGUAACAGGCGAAUACCCCAUCAUUCGGGACCAGAUCUUCAGGUAUGUCCAUGAUAAGCGCUGUGUGGCAACCACUGGUGACAUCACUGUAUCAGUCUCUACCUCCUUCCUGCCAGAGCUCAGUUCAGUCCAUCCGCCACACUUUUUCUUCACCUACAGAAUCAGGAUCGAGAUGGCGAAGUCGGCCCUGCCAGAGAAAGCUUGCCAGCUGGACAGCCGCUACUGGAAGAUCACAAACGCAAAUGGAAACGUGGAGGAGGUCCGAGGACCUGGCGUUGUGGGUAAGAGCCCGUCCCUGUCUGUGAGUUUCCAGUGAUGACACCUGGCAAAGUUCACGAGUAUGCCAGCUGCACCACGUUUUCCACUACUUCGGAGUACAUGGAAGGCCACUACACAUUCCACCGGCUCAAGAACAAAGAGGAAGUGUUUGACGUUUCCAUCCCACGAUUCCACAUGGUGUGCCCACCAUUCCGCGAGUCAGUGGUGCGCUCCAGCUCGGUCAGCGAGGUGUCUGCUCCUUAUGAUGAUGAGAAUUCAUCAGACACUGAUGACUACGAGGAGGGAGAAAUGCGUGGCAUGAACAUGGCUGACCCAGGGGGACGCUGUCCUCGGCAUGUCUGAUGCACUUUUUAAGCGUCUCCGGCCAGCAAGCGCCUACAGACACACUCGCACAAACAGGAGAGCAGGAGGACAAAUGGAGCUUUUAGGCCUCCAUUGUUUAUUGUUCAGCGCCUUUGUGCCUGUCACCUCUUGAACGUUUUCUCCCGUUUGUGAGGGCAUGUGUCUGGUUGUGGCGUGUUUGUGUCUGUGCGCGCUCGUGGAUGUGUGAGAUCAUUGUGUGUGUUUGAUUGAGAGUUUACUGAAUGUGUGUGUGAUUCUGUGAGAUUUGUGUCUUUAUGAUUGGGUUUCACGAUGACCUGCCACUUACCCAAAAUGGGAUAGUUCAGCCCAAGAUGCAAAGAUAUUUAGUCUCUCUGUCUUACUUGAGACACAAAAGAAAGAUGCAUCUAAUUGUCAGCAGGUUGUUUUGGAUUUUUAUUGCUUAAAAAUAGUUUUGUGAAACAAAACCGUUUGGAACGGACUUGUCAUUUUGAGUGAACUAUCCCUUUAAGACUUUACAAUUGCAGUAAGAGCAUGAUGGGAAAAUAUGACACUGUUAGCAGAAAAGAACGCGCACAAUGAAUCGGGAUACACACUGUGUGUGUUUAUACGUAAAUAUUCUCGAUUGUAUACUUCACAAAAAAAGGCAAAAAUGAAUCGAUCCCAUUCAUUCUAUCACAAGGCCUCAGGUAUUGCGUAGUAUGUAUGUGCUUGUACAUAGAUGUUUGUGAUUGUGUCAUCUGUACGGUGGGUUUUGGGGACAGGCUGAACUCCAGACUAUAGUCAAACUGGUUUAUUCAAUGUUGAGUAAAAAGCACACUAACUAGCCAGUUAAAGGGAUAGUUCACCAAAAAAUGAAGGUUUGCUCAUUAGUUACUCACGCUAAAGUGUUUUUUUUUUCUUCUGUGGAACAUUAAAAUAAAUAUAUUUUGAAGAAAGCUGUAACCACUGACUUCCAUAAUAGAAAAAUAAAUACUAUAGAGGUCAAUGGUUACUGGUUUCUAACAUUUUACUAAAUAUCUUCUUUUGUGUUCAACAGAAGACAGAAUUGAAAGGGUGAUUAAAUGAUGAGAGAAUUUACAUUUUUGGGUGAACUAUCCCCUAAACUUCUGCCAACCUGCACAAGCAAUCAGUUAACCAGUUUGUUGGCGCUGGUUCAGCUGUUCAAAGGUGCUGAUGUCCUGUUCUCAGAAGCGCUGGAUGGAUGUCGGCUGAAGGUCAGCUAAGAGCACAUUGGUGUGAAGCAGAUUGUUUUUAGCUCUGAUCAUCGUAAGGGCUGAAGGUUACACAGACUGGUGUGAAUAGUAAGAUAAGAUAAUUUUAUGACAAGUUUAUGGCAUUAUUAUGACAUUUUCUGCUUUUUUUUCCCCUUUAAAAUGCUGUGUAGGAGGUAAAGGAUGAGGAAAACAUCUUUGUUGUACAGCUCCAGAUUGAAAUAUAGGC